CGGUGCGAGCGUUAUCGGAUUACUGGGCGUAAGCGCAUGSAGGUGGUUUGUUAAGUCAGAUGUGAAAGCCCGGGGCUCAACCUCGGAAUAGCAUUUGAAACUGGCAGACUAGAGUACUGUAGAGGGGGGUAGAAUUUCAGGUGUAGCGGUGAAAUGCGUAGAGAUCUGAAGGAAUACCGGUGGCGAAGGCGGCCCCCUGGACAGAUACUGACACUCAGAUGCGAAAGCGUGGGGAGCAAACAGGAUUAGAUACCCUGGUAGUCCACGCCGUAAACGAUGUCUACUUGGAGGUUGUGGCCUUGAGCCGUGGCUUUCGGAGCUAACGCGUUAAGUAGACCGCCUGGGGAGUACGGUCGCAAGAUUAAAACUCAAAUGAAUUGACGGGGGCCCGCACAAGCGGUGGAGCAUGUGGUUUAAUUCGAUGCAACGCGAAGAACCUUACCUACUCUUGACAUCCAGAGAACUUUCCAGAGAUGGAUUGGUGCCUUCGGGAACUCUGAGACAGGUGCUGCAUGGCUGUCGUCAGCUCGUGUUGUGAAAUGUUGGGUUAAGUCCCGCAACGAGCGCAACCCUUAUCCUUGUUUGCCAGCACUUCGGGUGGGAACUCCAGGGAGACUGCCGGUGAUAAACCGGAGGAAGGUGGGGGACGACGUCAAGUCAUCAUGGCCCUUACGAGUAGGGCUACACACGUGCUACAAUGGCGCAUACAGAGGGCGGCCAACUUGCGAGAGUGAGCGAAUCCCAAAAAGUGCGUCGUAGUCCGGAUCGGAGUCUGCAACUCGACUCCGUGAAGUCGGAAUCGCUAGUAAUCGUGGAUCAGAAUGCCACGGUGAAUACGUUCCCGGGCCUUGUACACACCGCCCGUCACACCAUGGGAGUGGGCUGCAAAAGAAGUAGGUAGUUUAACCUUCGGGAGGACGCUACCAC
rnacentral:rRNA from 1 species